UACGUAGGUGGCGAGCGUUAUCCGGAUUUACUGGGCGUAAAGGGAGCGUAGGCGGAUGAUUAAGUGGGAUGUGAAAUACCCGGGCUCAACUUGGGUGCUGCAUUCCAAACUGGUUAUCUAGAGUGCAGGAGAGGAGAGUGGAAUUCCUAGUGUAGCGGUGAAAUGCGUAGAGAUUAGGAAGAACACCAGUGGCGAAGGCGACUCUCUGGACUGUAACUGACGCUGAGGCUCGAAAGCGUGGGGAGCAAAC
rnacentral:rRNA from 1 species